CCUACGGGGAGCAGCAGUGGGGAAUAUUGGACAAUGGGCGAAAGCCUGAUCCAGCCAUGCCGCGUGUGUGAAGAAGGCCUUCGGGUUGUAAAGCACUUUCAGUGGGGAAGAAAGCCUUGGGGCUAAUACCCUCGAGGAAGGACAUCACCCACAGAAGAAGUACCGGCUAACUCCGUGCCAGCAGCCGCGGUAAUACGGAGGGUGCGAGCGUUAAUCGGAAUUACUGGGCGUAAAGCGCGCGUAGGCGGUCUGAUAAGCCGGUUGUGAAAGCCCCGGGCUCAACCUGGGAACGGCAUCCGGAACUGUCAGGCUAGAGUGCAGGAGAGGAAGGUAGAAUUCCCGGUGUAGCGGUGAAAUGCGUAGAGAUCGGGAGGAAUACCAGUGGCGAAGGCGGCCUUCUGGACUGACACUGACGCUGAGGUGCGAAAGCGUGGGUAGCAAACAGGAUUAGAUACCCGAGUAGUC
rnacentral:rRNA from 1 species